rnacentral:rRNA from 2 species
ACGGCGAGUGAAGCGGGAAGAGCUCAAAUUUGAAAUCUGGCGGUCUAAGGCCGUCCGAGUUGUAAUCUAGAGAGGUGUUUUCCGUGCCGGACCGUGUACAAGUCCCUUGGAACAGGGCGUCAUAGAGGGUGAGAAUCCCGUCCAUGACACGGACUCCCGGUGCUCUGUGAUACACCUUCAAAGAGUCGAGUUGUUUGGGAAUGCAGCUCAAAAUGGGUGGUAAAUUCCAUCUAAAGCUAAAUACAGGCGAGAGACCGAUAGCGAACAAGUACCGUGAGGGAAAGAUGAAAAGAACUUUGGAAAGAGAGUUAAACAGUACGUGAAAUUGUUGAAAGGGAAACGCUUGAAGUCAGUCGCGUCUGCCAGGACUCAGCCUUGCUUCUGCUUGGUGCACUUCUUGGUGGAUGGGCCAGCAUCGAUUUUGAUCGCCGGAGAAGGGCGGGAGGAAUGUGGCAGCUUGCUGUGUUAUAGCCUCCUGUCGUACACGGUGGUUGGGAUCGAGGACUGCAGCACGCCUUUGGUCGGGGUUCGCCCACGCCACG